rnacentral:rRNA from 1 species
CCGGCUAACUACGUGCCAGCAGCCGCGGUAAUACGUAGGGCGCGAGCGUUAUCCGGAAUUAUUGGGCGUAAAGAGCUCGUAGGCGGUUUGUCGCGUCUGCUGUGAAAGCCCGGGGCUCAACCCCGGGUCUGCAGUGGGUACGGGCAGGCUGGAGUGCAGUAGGGGAGACUGGAAUUCCUGGUGUAGCGGUGAAAUGCGCAGAUAUCAGGAGGAACACCGAUGGCGAAGGCAGGUCUCUGGGCUGUUACUGACGCUGAGGAGCGAAAGCAUGGGGAGCGAACAGGAUUAGAUACCCUGGUAGUCCAUGCCGUAAACGUUGGGCACUAGGUGUGGGGGCCAUUCCACGGUUUCCGCGCCGCAGCUAACGCAUUAAGUGCCCCGCCUGGGGAGUACGGCCGCAAGGCUAAAACUCAAAGGAAUUGACGGGGGCCCGCACAAGCGGCGGAGCAUGCGGAUUAAUUCGAUGCAACGCGAAGAACCUUACCAAGGCUUGACAUGUGCCGGACGGUCCCAGAGAUGGGGCUUCCCUUCGGGGCCG